AUGGAGGACAGGCCAGCGGACAUGGCGCCGGUGCACGUGCUGGUGUUCCCCUGGCCGCUGCAGGGCCACAUCAACUCCAUGCUCCCCUUCGCCGCGGGCCUCCUCGGCGCCGGCGUGCACGUCACCUUCCUGCACACGGAGCACAACCUCCGCCGGGUCGACCGUGCCGCUUCGCCACGCCUCCGCUUCGCGUCCGUGCCGGACGGCCUCCCCGACGACCACCCGCGCUCGGUCGCCCACCUCAGCGAGAUCGGCAGGUCCCUGAGGCCGAGCGCCAGCGCCGCGUACCGCGCCCUGCUCGCCCCGGCGCUCUCCGCUGGAAGCCACGCUGAUGGCGGGUUCCCGCCGGUGUCGUGCGUCGUGGUCGAUGGCUUGCUGCCGUUCGCCAUCGAUAUCGCGGAGGAGCUCGGCGUGCCGGCGCUCGCUUUCCGCACGGAGAGCGCGUGCAGCAUAUUGGCCUACCUCUCCGUGCCCGGGCUCGUGGAGCUCGGCGAGGUUCCCGUCCCUGUAGGCGCCGACCUCGACGAGCCGGUCCGUGGCGUUCCGGGGAUGGAGGGCUUCCUGCGGCGGCGAGAUCUUCCAAGUUCUUGCCGCGGCCACGGCGAGGUUGACGAACUCGACCCCAUGCUGCAGGUACUCGAUGAUGAAGUCACGUACCUAGGGUAG
rnacentral:rRNA from 1 species